ensembl:lncRNA
AGCCAACCAGGUUGCCGUUGAAAUGGAUUGUGGGUGAUUAGCUGGGAAUGCUGGAAGAAAGCCGAGGUGCUCUCCGGUGAACCUGCAGCUGGUGCUUGGAGUCAAUGGAGCACCGAUCCAGCAGGACAGGUCCUGCAUAUCAAACAACAUCAAUGCUGGGGAGAGAGCGGAGACCCUUUAGGUCACCAGGCUGCUCGUUAUGGAGCACACCUGUCACCAUCGUUACAACCACCUGCGCGUCAUCAAACUCACCUGGACUCCCUCACUUCCUGUUUACCUGCCCUAUAUAGAGUAUGUCACUCC